GGAUGGGAAAGGAAGAUGUGUGAGGCUACUCAUCCUCCCUCUCCUUGGCUCUGAGUGCUGGCAGAGUGUUCUGGAGAGUGUUUCCAGGUCCCACAGUGGAGGACUGUGUCCAGUUGCAGGGGAGGGCUCCUCCUUCUCACUGGAGGUUGUUGAGCCCAGGGCAGCCUGCAAUUCCCGCUCACCUCUUCAUGGUUCUUCUUCAUGUAGGCUAGCUCUUCAUUCAGGCUCUCGAUCUGCAUCUCCAGGUCAGCGUUGGCCUCCUCCAGGGCGCGCACCUUCUCCAGGUAGGAAGCCAGGCGGUCGUUGAGGAGGCCGCCAUCACAAGCACCAAAGUCAACAAAGCCACCAGCAAAACCCCCACCAAAGCCACCUCCAAGGCCACCUCCAUAGCCACCUCCAAGGCCACCUCCAUAGCCACCUCCAAAGCCACUACCAGCCCCUCCACCAAAACCACAGCUCAUGGUGAGAGCAGGAUUGAGAGCAGGUGCAGAUAGAAGCUUGCUUGGCC
rnacentral:lncRNA from 10 species